UUUAAGGACGACAACAACGCUAAUCGGUGACCAGGUUUAUCAAUUAUCAAUCACAAACCUCUCCAAAUUCACUGACAGUUUUUGGGUUCAUCAGGGGAUUCGCUGUUAAUAAAGGAGCAACCAACAUUUCUUAAUAUUUCACUUGUUCCCACUAAAUCAGCGGCUUUUCCCCAAAUCCUCCCUUUCAGGCAGCACACAAAUAACCAGAAAUGUUUUAAAAAGCAGAUAAAAAGGUAAAUGUUUAUGCUGGGGGUGAGACGGCUCUGGGGAGACCUUAGAGCCCUUCCAGGGGUUUGGGAAAAGGAGGGAGAAGGAUUUUUAUCGGGACAGAGUGUGACAGGACAGUGGGAAUGGGUUUGAAGUGAGGUGGGGCAGGGUUGGAUUGGAUGUUCUGAAAAACAGGGAAUUCUGUGCCUGGGGCUCCCCAGGACAGGGCUGGCUUUCCCAGCUCCCAGGGAACAUUCCUGGCUCCCAGGGAACAUUCCUGGCUGACAUUCCUUGCCGUCCAGCAGAAUCCCACCAUCCCUUUCCACUGCUGCUCUCCUUCCUCGUGUGUCCCCCAUCCUUGUUCCAGGUGCAGAAUCCAUCCAGGUGUUUCUUCAAGUGCUCCCAGACCUCUCAUUUCUCCGGGACUCCCCUUCCAGGGAUUCAACAAUCUCCCAUCACCACUUAUCCCCCCAAAAGGGGCUGGAUUUCUCUCUCAGUCCCAGCGUGGCAUUUAGACUGAGGUGAAAAGAUGCUGCUGUUCCCGUGUUCACAACUGGAAAAUCUGGGUGAUGGGAGUGAUUUACGAGCAGCAGAAACCUGGAAUAUUAUCAUGGAAAAGUCUGUCAGUCCCAACAUCAGGCAUCGCCUCCAGGAUCUCCAUUCCCACAAGGAACUGUGCACAGAGGGCACGAAAGAUCCAGGAGAUUGAAUCUGGCACUUCAUCAUCUCUCUUGUAAUCUCCCUCCUCAAAAAUGUGUUAAUUUGGAAAAACAGAAAGGAGAAUAAAAGGAGGAUUUAUGAACACACACAGACUAAUAAAUAAGCGUAUAACACUG